rnacentral:rRNA from 1 species
AGCGAACGCUGGCGGCAUGCCUAACACAUGCAAGUCGCACGGGGGGGCUUCGGCCUCCCAGUGGCGGACGGGUGAGGAACGCGUAGGGACCUGUCGAGGGGUGGGGGAUAACCGCGGGAAACUGCGGCUAAUACCGCAUGACGCCGCGGCGUGACAGCCGGGGCCAAAGGCGAAAGCCGCCCGCCGAGGGGCCUGCGUCCGAUUAGCUGGUUGGCGGGGUAGCGGCCCACCAAGGCGUCGAUCGGUAGCUGGUCUGAGAGGGUGAUCAGCCACACCGGGACUGAGACACGGCCCGGACUCCUACGGGAGGCAGCAGUGGGGAAUAGUGGACAAUGGGCGCAAGCCUGAUCCAGCAAGGCCGCGUGGGUGAAGAAGGUCUUCGGAUUGUAAAGCCCUUUCGGCGGGGACGAUGGUGACGGUACCCGCAGAAGAAGCCCCGGCUAACUUCGUG